rnacentral:lncRNA from 1 species
UAAUAGCCAAUAUAUAAUUUCAUUCAUUAAGGUCAUACAUUUCGGCCACUAGUUAUUCAUAUCAACGGUAUAAGUCCAUUGGCUAAGGUUUUAUUCAUUUAGCCUAUGCUAAUUACAUAGUUGUGAUUCAUAGUUAUAUUUACUGUUUAUAUAAUAGCCACAAUAAAAUUUCAUUCGUUAAGGUCAUACGUAUCGGCCACUAGUUAUUCAUACCAACCAUAUAAGUCCAUUGACUAAGGUUAUAGUUAUAUGGCCUAUGUUAGUUACAUCGUUGUGAUUCAUAGUGAUAUUGACCGUUUAUAUAAUAACCAAUAUAUAAUUUCAUUCAUUAAGGUCAUACAUAUCGGCCACUAGUUAUUCAUAGCAACGACAUAAGUCCAUUGACUAAUAGCCAAUAUAUUCAUAGCAACAACAUAAGUCCAUUGACUAAGAUUUUAUUCAUUUGGCCUAUGCUAAUUAUAUCGUUGUGAUUCAUAGUUAUAUUGGCCGUUUAUAUAAUAGCCACUAUAUAAUUUCAUUCAUUAAGGUCAUACGUAUCUGCCACUAGUUAUUCAUAGCAACCAUAUAAGUCCAUUGACUAAGAUUAUAGUCAUAUGGCCUAUGCUAAUUACAUCGUUGUGAUUCAUUGUUAUAUUGACCGUUUAUGUAAUAGCCAAUUUAUAAUUUCAUUCACUAAGGUCAUACGUAUCGGCCACUAAUUAUUCAUAGCAACCAUAUAAGUCCAUUGGCUAAGGUUUCAUUCAUUUGACCUAUGCUAAUUACAUCGUUGUGAUUCAUAGUUAUAUUGACCUUUUAUAUAAUAGCCAAUGUAUAAUUUCAUUCAUUGAGGUCAUACGUAUUGGCCACUAGUUAUUCAAAGCAACCAUAUAAGUCCAUUGACUAAGGUUUUAUUCAUAUGGCCUAUGUUGAUUACAUCGUUGUGAUUCAUAGUUAUAUUUACCAUUUAUAUAAUAGCCAAAAUAUAAUUUUAUUUAUUAAGGUCAUACGUAUCGGCCACUAGUUAUUCAUAGCAACCAUAUAAGUCCAUUGACUAAGAUUUAUUCAUAUGGCCAAUACUAAUUACAUCGUUGUGAUUCAUAGUUAUAUUGACCAUUUAUAUAAUAGCCAAUAUAUAAUUUCAAUCAUUAAGAUCAUACAUAUCGGCCACUAGUUAUUCACAACAACCAUAUAGGUCAAUUGACUAAGAUUAUAGUCAUAUGGCCUAUACUAAUUACAUCGUUGUGAUUCAUAGUUAUGUUGAUUGUUUAUAUAAUAGCCAAUAUAUAAUUUCAUUCAUUAAGGUCAUAUGUAUCGGCCACUAGUUAUUCAUAGUAACCAUAUAAGUC